GCCCGAGUGGCGGAAUGGCAGACGCACCGCACUCAAAAUGCGGCGUUCUUUGAACGUGUGAGUUCGACUCUCACCUCGGGCACCA
rnacentral:tRNA from 1 species